rnacentral:rRNA from 1 species
AUGGCAGGCAUGGGCGAUAUGCAGAUGAGGCCGCGGCCGGGCCCGCCGAUGCACCGCGGCCCGCCUCCCAUGGCGCGGCCCCGCCCCCAACCCAUCGACCGCGAGAAGACCUGCCCUCUCCUGCUCCGGGUUUUCACCAAGGUUGGUGGCCAUCACCUAAAUGAAGAAUUUUCUGAGAGAGGGAAGGAGCCAAAAGAUGAAGUUCAGAUUUAUACGUGGAAGGAUGCCACACUCCGGGAGCUCACUGAUCUUGUCAAAGAGGUUGCUCUUCCAGCAAGGAAAAGAAACGCUAGGUUAUCUUUUGCUUUUGUAUACCCGGAUAAGAAUGGUCGUUUUGUUGUCAAACAGGUGGGUUCGACCUUUUCUUAUGGUCAUGGAAGAGGGGAUGAUGCCAAAUCUCUUGGGGAUCUUGGCUUCCAGGUAUGCAUAGGUGAUUACUUGAGCGUGUCGAUCAUGUGA